ACUUGAUCAUUGGAUUAGGCAUCGGUAUACCUUUUCUUUUGAUUGCUAUUACAGCCAUGUUCGUCAUAUUUGUUUAUUGUAAAAGAAAAUAUGAGAAGAGAGAUGGAACUGAAAUCGAUAGAUCCUUUGAAGGAAGUUAUGUCUUCGAAUCAAGAAUAACCGUAAGCAAAGGUGGCAAAGUUCCGUUUAGUUUAAAAUUUCCAUGGUCUUCGGAAAGCGAUAUUAGGAGAAUGAGCAAUAUUACGAUAUAAAGUUCAAACGUCAAGCGCAGCUUGCACCAGGAAGGUAACACAGAGAUUGGAAAUGAUGGUGGCCACACCAGGUGUUAUCUUGAUCAAAGUACUACGGAUUCUUUCUGGGAUUUCACGCGAUCGUAUUUACCAACAGAGAAAUCGUUUGAAAUUAGAAGACCUGUUGCUGAAAGGAGACCUAAUCCUUUGUUUAGAGAUUAAUCAACAGCUGUGCAAGUCAGCAGAGAGAACAAAGUUGUUUUUUUUCUUUGGAGUGAAAAUAAGCAUGCUACAUUAGUUUAUUUUUGUGAUAUACAUGCAGUUUUUCGAGAUCAACACUGUCUUAUGACCUAUAUGAAACUCUUGUAUAUAAAUAUUACCUUUCUUGUUUGAUGUGCUUUUUGAGAAUAAUUCAUUUUAUAUAGGAAAGGAUAUCAUCUUUAGACUACCAAGUAU